rnacentral:rRNA from 1 species
AGUGAACGCUGGCGGCAGGCCUAACACAUGCAAGUCGAACGGCAGCACAAGAGAGCUUGCUCUCUGGGUGGCGAGUGGCGGACGGGUGAGGAAAACGUCGGAAUCUGCCUAUUUGUGGGGGAUAACGUAGGGAAACUUACGCUAAUACCGCAUACGACCUACGGGUGAAAGUGGAGGACCUUCGGGCUUCACGCAGAUAGAUGAGCCGACGUCGGAUUAGCUAGUUGGCGGGGGAAAGGCCAACCAAGGCGACGAUCCGUAGCUGGUCUGAGAGGAGGAUCAGCCACACUGGAACUGAGACACGGUCCAGACUCCUACGGGAGGCAGCAGUGGGGAAUAUUGGACAAUGGGCGCAAGCCUGAUCCAGCCAUGCCGCGUGGGUGAAGAAGGCCUUCGGGUUGUAAAGCCCUCUUGUUGGGAAAGAAAAGCAACCGGUUAAUACCCGGUUGUCAUGACGGUACCCAAAGAAUAAGCACCGGCUAACUUCGUGCCAGCAGCCGCCGUAA